rnacentral:lncRNA from 1 species
UUUUUUUAGUGAGAGGAGGGUAGUGUAUGUAUGGUAUAUAGUAAAAAGUGGUAGGGAGGAAAGUAAACAGAUGAAAUGAUGUUUUUUAAGAAAAAGAAUCUGAAGCAAAAAAUCAAGUCCCUUCCCCCUUCUCUUUAUGUUUCUUUUCUAUUAUGUUGUUUUGACAUUGAUGCGCCGUUUUCUCACUUGAUUUGAUAAGUUCCGGAAAAGAAUGGGGGCGGCCUCCUUGGUAUGAAUAG